rnacentral:rRNA from 1 species
ACGGGUGAGUAAUAUAUCGGAACGUGCCCAAUCGUGGGGGAUAACGUAGAGAAAUUUACGCUAAUACCGCAUACGAUCUAAGGAUGAAAGCGGGGGAUCGCAAGACCUCGCGCGAUUGGAGCGGCUGAUAUCAGAUUAGCUUGUUGGUGAGGUAAAAGCUCACCAAGGCGACGAUCUGUAGCUGGUUUGAGAGAACGACCAGCCACACUGGGACUGAGACACGGCCCAGACUCCUACGGGAGGCAGCAGUGGGGAAUUUUGGACAAUGGGCGAAAGCCUGAUCCAGCAAUGCCGCGUGCAGGAAGAAGGCCUUCGGGUUGUAAACUGCUUUUGUACGGAACGAAACGGUCUGCCCUAAUACGGCGGGCUAAUGACGGUACCGUAAGAAUAAGCACCGGCUAACUACGUGCCAGCAGCCGCGGUAAUACGUAGGGUGCGAGCGUUAAUCGGAAUUACUGGGCGUAAAGCGUGCGCAGGCGGUUAUGUAAGACAGUUGUGAAAUCCCCGGGCUCAACCUGGGAAUUGCAUCUGUGACUGCAUAGCUAGAGUACGGUAGAGGGGGAUGGAAUUCCGCGUGUAGCAGUGAAAUGC